rnacentral:tRNA from 1 species
GUUCCUGUAGUUAAAGUUUUAUAGCGGCAGUUCUUCAGACUGUAGGUCUCAGAGAAAGUCUGGGCAGGAAUU